UCUGCCUGCUGAGUACUGGGACUGAAGUUCUCUGUCACCACACCCUGGCGUACAAAUAAAAUUAAGGAGAAUAAUCUUAUGCUUUUCUGACAAAAGACAGCUAAGAUCUAGACAAAAUUCCCAGGGUAGGCGGGAGGGUGGUUAUAGUUCCCCGCAGACCCCACAAGUAGUAUCAAACGCGCACGCAGGAUUGGGCCAACCACCACCUAGUGAUGUGCCUGUCAGCAUCGAGGAACUCCGCCUCAUGGACCAGUCCCAGCUCCCAGUGUUGGGCGUGGCUCACAGGAUAAGAUGAUUUUUUUUGUUACUAAAUGGCUGGGGAGGCAGAUUAGAAGACUCCUCUUUGAUGACCUGUGGAGAUCACAUGAAACAUUUCAGAGUCCACAAAGGAAGUGAGGGGACCCUACGUUACCUGUUCCCAUAGGUGUUCUCUGUGGCUGCUUUGGGGCAACAUAACAAGGAAACCUCUGACCGUCCUACUCACGGCCAGCACAUGGGGAACCGUGAGCAGGAGAUUCUGUGGAAGAAAACCCACUGUUCUGCCAUUUUGUUGAGCUGUGUGGGAGAGAUCUCCAAAGUUCAUCAAUGAAGAGAGUAGAAGGAGGAAGUGGAGGAAGGCUGCAGAAGAGGAGAGAGAGACCAUUACAACAGGGUAUGACGAGAAUGAUAAUGCACAAAAUGAGACGAGAGAUAAUGUAAACAGCUGUUGCCCCCAAGGAGUCCAGGAAACGAGAGGCAGACAGGAAGAAGCCCGAUCUCACUGAUGCUCCCUCAGGAGGAUCUCCAGUGCGUGUUCCAGCCCAGCACCUGGCUCCUACCUUGAAGGACCUCUCUACAGCGGUGUGCAGAGGUCCUGCCCUUCUUUAGGAAGAAGACAGUGUGAUGGAGAGUCCUCUGUUAUGCCCCCAAGCCAUCAGGGCACUUGAGCUCAUCUGCUGCGCCCCAAUUCUGGUGUUCAUCUCUGUGACAUCUCAACCCCCAGCGGCCAUGUCAAGACAGCCCAGAUUCACUCUGGUCUUCUAACCCUCCUCAAAUCAUUGGGUCCACCCUUCGCUGGAACUCAUGGUGUUCUUGGAUAUAGGUAUCGAUGGCUUAUGGUCCCCCCCAUCCCCACCUCACCCCAUCUCUGCACACAGCAACUGCCAAGAUCUUAUCUACAGAGUGCCGGAGCUAGGGAGAGCUCAAGAAAACUCACUGCCUCUCAAAGGUUUGGGUGUGCUUAAAGCUGAUUGAUAUGUCAAGCCUCUGACCCAAGAUAGCUCAGGGGUGUGGGAGUAUUUGCGGGGGAGGUUGGGAAAGAACUACCUCCUCAGAUCCACACACUCAGGCUCUCUUCAGUUUGUGGAGUUCCUGGACCGUGUAUCCUGAUUCAAAUGCUAGGCAAUAGGGCCCACGCUCCUGACCCGAAGAAAUGGUGUGUGUGUGUGUGUGUGUGUGUGUGUGUGUGUGUGUGUGUGUGUGUGUGUCCCGCGCCUCAAAUGGGUGAUACUCAAGUGAAUUCAUCUGGUCAAAGGUGACAAAGUCACUUUACAGAACUAGGCUAUGAUGGUUAUUGGCCAUUUCCACCCCUGACAGCUAUGGCAACUGCUCCCUUGCUAAUCAAGAAUCAAGCCCCGGGCUUGUACUAUAAAAUCAAGCCACUCUGACAAAAGAGCCCAGGAACUCUUACAGUAAAAUUGAAAGUAUAAACGAAUCGAUUUUCAUGCAGGUUGCAGACUGAGUUCGAAGAUGACCCUCAUAAACCCUGUCCCCUGGAGUGCACAGCUUUCACAGAAAAUGUCCCUGGGGUGUGAUUUGCUUCUAACUAACAGAAUUUGGCAAAUGAAGGGAUUUUUUUUUUUCAGAUGUAAUUGAGAUUCCAAAUUAGCUGAUUUUCAGCUAGUUCAAGAGGAGACUUUGUGGGUCUCAGAGGAUCUGACUUUGUCAGAUGGAGAGAUGAGCACCUCCCUUCCCUCAGAAGUUCGUCUUUCUAAUUUGAUGAUGCAAUCAGCUGCGUUGCAGAAGUCUACAUGGCAACCAGCAGCUGGUUUCUAGGAUCUGUAGAGACAUCUAGGUCAUGAGGUCAGCCUCUAGUUGACAGCCAGCAGAAUGUUGGUGGCUCCAUCCAUACAGGCAUGGGGACAUGAAGUCUGCCAACAAGCUCAACAAACAUGGAAGUCUUUCCAAGUCAACCCUCCAGAUGCCAACGCGGCCCGGCCCUUGUCUUCAUUGUGAUUUGUGAUAUCCCAAGCAGAGGGUCAUUCCUGGAUUCCUGACCCCCCAAAACUGAGGGGCCAAUAGUGCCGUAGACUUUGUUCUCUGUUCUUCUUUGCAAACAUUUCACACACCCCAGAUCUCAUUCCCAAAGAUGCAGAAAUUAUAUUAAGAUUUCUGAGUCAACACUGUGCAUCAGGGAAAAAUGUAUCUGUCAUGAGAAACUCUGGGAGAAUUUCUGAAAUUUCAAAAAUAAAAAAUUUAGGCCAAGCAUAGUGCACGCCUUUAGUUCUAGCACUUGGGAGGCAGAGGCAGGGAAAUCCCUGUAAGUCUGAGGCCAGCCUGGGCUACAAUAAAAAUUCCAAGCUAACCAGGGAUACAUAGUACACUGUGUCUCAAAAAAAAAUUGUGUGUGUGUGUGUGUGUGUGUGUGUGUGUGUGUGUAAAGUUUAAAUUAACAUCUGGAAUAGAUACUUUCUUAGAAAAGCUGGGUUUUGCUCGUUUGGAAAUAUACUUUGACAGACUGUGCAAUUGUUACUUAGGGCAUACAUUAGCAAAAACUAAAAUAUAUCUGAAUUCUUCUACAUCUCAAGAACUCAGAGGUGUGAUAGCCAUUUUCACUAGUUCAUUGUUAUUAUCCCCCAAAAACUAUUUUUAUUCACCCUCUUUUUUUAUUCAAAAGAAAACAUAUCAUAUAUACUGUCAUAUCUUGUUUUUCUCAUUAAAACAAUACAUCUUGGAGAUC